rnacentral:rRNA from 1 species
UACGGGGGGGGCAAGCGUUGUUCGGAAUUACUGGGCGUAAAGGGCUCGUAGGCGGCCAACUAAGUCGGAUGUGAAAUCCCCAGGCUUAACCUGGGAACUGCAUCCGAUACUGGAUGGCUUGAAUCCGGGAGAGGGAUGCAGAAUUCCAGGUGUAGCGGUGAAAUGCGUAGAUAUCUGGAGGACUACCGGUGGCGAAGGCGGCAUCCUGGACCGGCAUUGACGCUGAUGAGCGAAAGCUAGGGGAGCAAACGGG